rnacentral:lncRNA from 1 species
UGGAGGAUUAGUUGUUUGGAGUGUGGUUACGGAGUUUCUCAACCCACACUUUUUCAACGUUGGUAACCAUUAAGAAAAGACAUAGAAUACUCAAUUCUGUUCACUCAAAUUUGGUAGAUUCCGGGAGUGAGUUUCUUACCCCAACAUUAGUGUUACAAUGCACACCAGUUUAACUGUAGUUAGCUACUUUCAUUCAGGGCUCUUGUUAGCAUCUUAUAGUAAAGGCGUGGAUGAGGAGGGGGGAAAAUAAAGCUUUGACAGAUGGUACUCAGCGUUUGACUCCUGCUGAGCUCAGCAGGACCUGUGGUUUCCAAGGUUAGGGCUGUCAAAAUGGCUCUGUCUAUCAAGUGAAUAACAAAGUGUAGACUGCCUGUCUGUUUCCUAUACAAAACUUAGAUUUCAUUUGCCAUUAUUGUCGGCCUUUCUGCUGAUUUAAUAACUUCUAAGGAGAAGAACUAGGGGUUCUGAUGCAGCCUCACUAUUUAAGAAACUACUUGGAAAGGGAAUUCUCAAGGGCUGAAAGAGGUAGGCCGCGAUCUGAUCUCUUUCUCUUUGGUUUCUCUCUAAGGCUUCAAGACUUAAAAAGGAUUCAAAAGACACCAAAGGUUCACUUUUGGCUAAAAGCUAAAUGUGAACCUUUCAAAAUGAACUCAUUGCUGUCUUCCUCUCAAAAGGCCUUCAGAUGGUCAGAUAAAGUACCUGAUGCUGAAAAACAGGAAAUUGAAUCAUGUCUCCAAAAUGUGCUUUUUGUCAUGCACUGUUACAGCUAUAUUUCUUGACUGGCAGCCUCUAAACAGCCUACUCAUAGAGGCAACUAAAACGAGGAUUCUGUCUCAAAGCUCUGUUCUAUCCAUGCCUUCCCAUGGAGCAAAGGAACAAACAAGAUAUCAACAAUUGGAGAAAUGGCAACUACAAUUCCAUCAUUCACAACUUCAGUUUUCCCUCAAGAGAACAAGUGACACUGUUAAUCAGGCCCUGCAAGCACAAAUAAACAAAAAUAAUAAUUUGAGAAAAGAAAAUGAACGAUGGCAUAAGAAGUCUAGUGUUUCUUCCAUAACCAAGGUAUAGUAGUCUCAUCCUUUGGAGCUUUAGAUGAACAGACUGAGGAUCACAGAGUUUCUAACACAAGCCCCU